rnacentral:rRNA from 1 species
CCGCCGGCGACCGGCGCACGGGUGAGUAACGCGUAUGCGACCUGCCCGUUGCAGGGGGAUAAGCGGAAGAAAUUCCGUCUAAUACCGCGUAACAACGUUGGGAGGCAUCUCCCGAUGUUUAAAGAUUUAUCGGCUGCGGAUGGCCAUGCGGCGCAUUAGCUAGUCGGCGGGGUAACGGCCCACCGAGGCGACGAUGCGUAGGGGUUCUGAGAGGAAGGUCCCCCACACUGGUACUGAGACACGGACCAGACUCCUACGGAAGGCAGCAG